CUAGCUAAGCAUCUCACUUACACCGAGAAGACAUCCAUGCAAAUUGGAUCACCCUGAGCCGAACAGCUAG
rnacentral:tRNA from 1 species